rnacentral:piRNA from 1 species
UCUCUGUGUAGCCCCAGAUAUCCUGGAACUC